AAGACAUCAAAAUAAAUAGAACUUGUGGUAUUGAUUCUUUUUGACAUAUUAGCUCUAAAUGACAGGCAAUGGGCUUUUUCUUCUGGAAAUGGCUAGAAGGAGGAAAGAUUUAAACUUCCUUCUUGUUUUGCGCUGUCUGGAUUCUACUCAUCAGUUUGGCAUAAAGAAUGGGUACUUUGUUGCUACUAAUGCAACAUAAACAUUCCGCUCCAUCGUUUCUUCUUACCCAGGAGAGUUAGUUCUUGUGUCAAUACAGUGUCCAAACCCUGAUUUCAAUAAAUCUGAGCAUAGAUGGAGGAUCCUGCAGAGAUCUUUAAUUGAAGCAGUAGUGGAUCUUCUAGCAUCUAAUGGGAAGGUCUUUCUGCAAUCUGAUGUAGAGGCUGUAGCAAUAAGGAUGAAGGAACGAUUCUUGAGAUAUAGGAAGGGUAAGCUUGAUUUGGAGCAUUGCCAAAUUGUGUGGCUUGAGGAAAACCCAUUUGGAGUUAGGUCAGAUUGGGAAAAACAUGUUCUAGAGCGUGGGGCCCCGAUGUACAGGAUGAUGUUCUAAAUCAUAUGAUGAUAUCAGUGAAGUUUCAGUUGCAAAUGAUGUAAUUCUGAAAGCUGGCUAGUCCAUUAAACCUCCAAAGUGUUACUGUUUUUGCAGAAUCUAUCACACAACCAAUGGUUUCUCCAUGCAUGGCUCAUGUUUUAGCAUUGUAGGGUUGGACAUCCUUACAAUUUGGGGGAUGGAGUGCAGAAUUGUUGUUGAUGUGCAGAGCCAAAAAUAUUCAAUAAGUGAUUCCAAAGUCAUUGUGCAUGCAAAUGUGCAUAUGAUUCCUAAUGUUCUAAGAUAUCCCCUCCAAGAAUGCAUGUAGAAGCCAACCAAUGAAAUUAAAGCUGUAGGUCAGAGAGAUGUCCGAAGUUAAUGUUGUGUAUAUUUGCAAUGAAAUUAUAUAAG